UCUCGUUUCACCCCUUUCCUCUACUACAGAUUCAACUGAAAUCGAUUUGAAUUGAUUCUCACUCCAUAAAUAAAUAUAAGAAUCAUGCCGGUAAGUUCCUUUGUUUCUCUGGAUCCAGAUCACAUCUCACAAUUUACAUUAAUAAUUCUUCGCAUGAGCAAAGUUCAUUCGUAAUUCAGUGUAAAAUCGAAUUGGACCUUCUUUAGCAACAACGAAUGUGUAUUAGCGUCAGUUUAUUCAUAAUUUAGUGUUCAAUUGAGAUGGGUCUUCUGUGCCAGAAUGAAUUCGUAUUUGCGCAAGUUUAUUCAUAACCUAGGGUUACAUUGAAAUGGGUCUUUUGAUUGGGUUGUGACGCAGUUGAGGAGAAUGGUAUUGGUGGAGGUGGAGCCGCCGAGCCUACUCAGAUACUUGAUCGGAGCAACCAUAAUGAUGUUGGGAGUGGUGGUUCCUGUGGGUUAUAUGAUGUUUCGCAACAAAAGAGUUCCUUCCUCUUCUUCAUAUUCCAAACAGACGUAGGUGUGCCUUUCUCAUAUUGUUAUAUAAGAAGAAAAAUCUUAUCAAAGGUUAUAUAAGAUGAAAAAUCAAAAUACCGAAGGCCCAGGAUGCAUUGAUGUCCAACAUUGAAUUUUUUUCCUUCAAAAUUGGUCAAAAUUCUUCUUCUUCUUCUUCUUUUGUGUGUGGGUGGGUGGGUGGGUGUGGAGUGGGGAUCUUGUCGAGCUUAUGUUAUUUCUUAGAUUUAUGCCUUAUGUAUGUAUACACAUGAAAUAUUUUUGAAUAUAAGCAUUUGCAUACUUGUUUGUUAUGUUUAUCAUUAUCGAGUGAUGAUGUUUGAUAUUUUAGUUUCGCCCCCAUUAAUUUCUAUUACCAUUACAUUUUUCUCAAUCCUAUUUUCAACCACACAAUUUUUUAUAAAAUAAUAUUACCGGUAAAUCGAAAAUUUUCCUUCUUUUUUAACCACUCAUUUUUUCAAAAAAAUACUAUUUUGCCCAUUUUCAAAUCUACAAAAUGGGGGCCAAACGGGGGCUUAAAUGGAUUGAGAUUGAAUGGAUGAUUGGUUUCGUGUUACAGGAACAAGGUUUUGAUGUAGAAGUAUACUCGAGGGUUGAUUUUGACUUUUGGCUCGAUUAGUAUGAUGUGGAAGAAAGAAAAGGAAGACGAAGAAGAAACAGUAUUAUCUGUAUAUCAUCUGUAAAUGACUGAACAUGCACACUUUAGCAUGGGUGGUUGUUUUCAUUUGAAUUCUUGGUUGAAGUGAGAUAUGCGUGUUCUUUUUCGAAUAUAUGGCUACUUAUUGUUCUUCUGACUGUAAUAUUUGUGUUUAACUGCACAGUUGCUAUCAACUUUGCCUUUUCCUUGCGUCUCUUGGGGUUUACAUGAACAUGUUUUGGUAUGUUCUAGUCUUGCAAAUUAUGGCUUUUGUUAUUUCUACCAUUCAAAUUAUUAGCUGAGUUGGACGUUCUUUUUCCUUGUUACUGUUCAAAUUACCAGUUGAUUUGUUAGUUGAAUUAAUGUAGAUGUUAUCAGGAAGUCCAUAACUGUGAAG
rnacentral:lncRNA from 1 species